GAUGAACGCUGGCGGCGUGCCUAAUACAUGCAAGUCGAGCGAACAGACGAGGAGCUUGCUCCUCUGACGUUAGCGGCGGACGGGUGAGUAACACGUGGAUAACCUACCUAUAAGACUGGGAUAACUUCGGGAAACCGGAGCUAAUACCGGAUAAUAUAUUGAACCGCAUGGUUCAAUAGUGAAAGACGGUUUUGCUGUCACUUAUAGAUGGAUCCGCGCCGCAUUAGCUAGUUGGUAAGGUAACGGCUUACCAAGGCAACGAUGCGUAGCCGACCUGAGAGGGGGGUCGGCCACAGUGGAAAGGAGAGCGGGUCAAGCCCCCGAGGGGAGGCAGCAGUAGGGAAUCUCCCGCAAUGGGCGAAAGCUGGAAGGAGCAACGCCGGGUGAGGGAUGAAGGUCUUCGGAUCGUAAAACUUUGUUAUGAGGGAAGAACAAAUGUGUAAGUAACUAGGCACGUCUGGACGGUACCUAAUAAGAAAGCCACGGCUAACUACGGG
rnacentral:rRNA from 1 species